rnacentral:sRNA from 1 species
GGCUUCUCCCCCAGGCAUCGCCCACAGGGACCUAAAGCCGGAAAACAUCCUCUGUGAGCACCCCAACCAGGUCUCCCCCGUGAAGAUCUGUGACUUCGACCUGGGCAGCGGCAUCAAACUCAACGGGGACUGCUCCCCUAUCUCCACCCCGGAGCUGCUUACUCCGUGCGGCUCGGCGGAGUACAUGGCCCCGGAGGUGGUAGAGGCUUUCAGCGAGGAGGCCAGCAUCUACGACAAGCGCUGCGACCUGUGGAGCCUGGGCGUCAUCUUGUACAUCCUGCUCAGCGGCUACCCGCCCUUCGUGGGCCGCUGUGGCAGCGACUGCGGCUGGGACCGCGGCGAGGCCUGCCCUGCCUGCCAGAACAUGCUGUUUGAGAGCAUCCAGGAGGGCAAGUACGAGUUCCCCGACAAGGACUGGGCCCACAUCUCCUGCGCUGCCAAAGACCUCAUCUCCAAGCUGCUCGUCCGUGACGCCAAGCAGAGGCUGAGUGCCGCCCAAGUCCUGCAGCACCCCUGGGUUCAGGGGGUGAGUGCCAGCCGCACGGGCGCCGGGGGAGCAUGGGGGGCUGCAGGGUGGCCUCAGAGCGAGCAUGGGAAGCCCUGAGGGUGUAGCCUGGACACCCUGAGAUGCACUGAGGCCUGAGAGUGCAGGCUCUGCCCUGGGAUGAGGGGUGCAGCCAAAAUCCCCACCGCCCACGUGUGCACGGUGCCUGCUGGCCAGGCAGGCGGCUCCCAGGAGCAGCUACUCAGAGAACCUUCCUGGAGGGUGGUGGGGACCCACACCCUGCAGCAAGCUGGAGUGAAGCGGGCAGCAAGUCCAGCUCACAUAGACCCCAGCCCAGCCUGUCGUCAGUCUCAAGCCCAGGCUCUGCCUCCACCCUUCCCUGUGUGGCCUCCAAUCCAGGAGGAGGCGGGUGUUUCUCCUGCCAGAGGUCAUCUGAGCCGAGCUGCCACCCCAGGGAGUGAGGAUUUACUAAAAAUAGAAGCUGGGGUCACUCUGUGUCCCCAGGCGAGGGGCUGGGGGCCUCCAAACUCCUCCCAGAAGCAUCCAGAGACCCGUGGGUUAAGAGGGGGGCAGAGGUGGGUUUGGGCUGGGAACAGCUGGGAGAGGUGGGGCUUGGGGCUCUGCCCCCACCCUCACUGGGUCCUGUAACACCAGGCCUCAGCCUGGCCCAGCCUCGGGUUCCCUGGGCAGGGGGACAUGGAGCCUCGCCAUAGGGACCUCGGGGCGGGCGCUUGGCUCCCGGGGCACCCGGGUGCACUCCUGGACUCCGGUGGGGUCCUGGAUGGGAUGGGCACGGCAUUCCUUGGCCAGACACCCCACCCAGCGCCCCAGGCAGCCCCAGCUGCUCUCCAGCCCUGCCCCCGCCCAUUCUCGUUGCAGUGCGCCCCGGAGAACACCUUGCCCACUCCCAUGGUCCUGCAGAGGUGAGGCCCACAGGGGUGCUCGGGACCCCUGAGUCCAGGGGGCGGGGUUUCCAGGUUAAGACGCUUGUGAAAGACCCGGAGAACUGCUUUGGGUCGGGGAGGUAGGCAAGCCUGGUGACUCAGUGGAGCUCCCGGUGGGGCCCUGGCGCUCAGAGGAGCCCCAGGGUGGGGGCUGGGAGGGGCGCAUGAAGCCCCUUCCCCCAGGGCCUUCACAGACUCCAGGGGUCCCCUAAGGGGUGCCUCUUGGUGACCACCUACCCCCACGCCGUUUCCCAGGAACAGCUGUGCCAAAGACCUCACGUCUUUCGCGGCCGAGGCCAUUGCCGUGAACCGGCAGCUGGCCCAGCACGACGAGGACCUGGCCGAGGAGGAGGCCGCGGGGCAGGGCCAGCCCGUCCUGGUCCGAGCUACCUCACGCUGCCUGCAGCUGUCUCCACCCUCCCAGUCCAAGCUGGCGCAGCGGCGGCAAAGGGCCAGCCUGUCCUCGGCCCCCGUGGUCCUGGUGGGAGACCAUGCCUGACCCUCCCAUCUCCCCUCUGUACAUAGGUUGCCCGUCCCCCAAUCAAAUCGAAAGGUUUUUUAAGCUAUCGCCAGCCGGUGUCCAGCGGGCUGCCCCUCCUCUGGCUGGAUUCCCAGGCACUAAGCUCAGCUGAGGGGGGUGUUUUAUAGAAGGUUUUUGCUUUUGGGUUUUUUUUUCCUGUUUCCACCCCUCCCCGUUAUUUUUUCCUUUGGAUGGUUAAAAGCAAUGCAGACACCCGGGGAGGUGAGCAGAAGGUAGGUGGCUGGGCUUGUCCCCUCCCUGGCCCCCGCCCUGCUCACCUCUACUGUGAAGGUGCCCCCAGGUCAUCGGUGCCGCCCGCCAUCUGCCCACGUGGCUUGCAGUGACUCAGGAGAGCAGGCCCACAGCGUUUGCCAUCUUGCAGAGCUGGGGAGGGGGGCACAGUUCCCUCCCAGCCCUCAGUAUUUCAGGGACAGGCUCUUCCCCUCUAUUCCUCACCCUGAGAGCACCCCUGGUGGCUUGGUUGGGGAGGGGAGGGGCUGCCUGUCUCCAGAGGGGCCAGGCAGGCAGGUGGCGGGCAGCUCACCCACCCACCCCAUGGGAUCCCCCAGCCCUUCACCCGCGCUUGCCUUGUCCCCAUGAUAGUUGACAAUCGGGGCUUCCUGCAAGGCCCGUCUGUCUGUCCAGGACUCCUGGUGGCCAGAUUCGGCCUCCGAUCUUGACCUUAAGCUGCAGCUGACCCCAGGGGCUCACUGCUGCCCCUCCCCACCACACCAGGGCCUGAGACAGCAGGAGCCCCUUCUGGCCCGAAGCCGUUUCCACCGCAGCAGGCAGAGGGGCUGGACAGGCACUGUCAGCCAAUGUGGGGGGUCCUGAAGACACCCCCUUGGGGCACCCGAGUGCCCCUUCUCAGGGCUCAGUCUGACCGUAGCCACGUCCUGCCUCGCGCCGCCCCUUGGGCCUGACCUGGAAGCUCCGUCAGCUCCGUCCUUGUCCUUAGAGCUGAGUCCAGACCCCGGGGUCUGGUCGAAUCCUCACCCCCAGGGCAGUGUUUUUGGUCUGCCACCUUCAGGAAAACGGCCGCGGCCUCGGCCUCCCUUCAGGCACCCAGGAAUGGGGGGGUCUGCUCAGUCCCCCCACCCUCCAUGCUCCAACCCCCGGGGGCUGCGGAGCCUGCUGCCCCUCCCCGUGGGUGGGGACGUUCUAUGCAAUACAGGGUUCCACUUUAGAAGUGCGCGCGGCUGUGCUGCAGGGGCGGCUAGGGUCACCGCCCGCCCUUCCCGGCGCAGCCCCCAAACUCCACAGCUGGGGCAGCCCCUCUGGCUUCUAAAUCCAGAUUCUUCGUCGUGUUUAGUUUUUUAGUUUUUUUUUUUUUUUUUUUUUAAGGAAAAAAAACAUCGGUGGACUUUGCUUCCCUGUUCUUGAAGAAUACUUGAAUGUCGGGGGGGCCUGGGGGUGGGGGCCUCAGAGACCGUCUGCCUGGCCCUGCUGCCCCUCCUGAAUCUCGUACGAUGGUCACAGUCCGGUGGCCGUGGGGGUGCUCUGCCUUCCCUGAUCCCCACUGCCCAUAUCUGUGGACUGCCCCUUCCAAAGACCCCUGGGGGGUGGGGCAGGCCGCCCACCCCUUUCCCUCAUCACGUCUCGCCCGUCAGUGAUUCCGUGUUUUGUAACGGGGGAUUCUCUGCCUUUUUGUAUCAAAGAACAAGCAAACGGACCCCCACCUGCUGCAGGCGCCCACAGCCAUCGGGUCUCGAAAGCUGAGCGGCUAGCAGCUUUUUUUUUUUUUUUUUUUUUUCUGAAGGUGGGACAGUCACUUCUUCCUCCCUCCCCACCCUUGUCGCAUCCAUUUGCGACCUGGAGGACUGGUCAGAACCGUUACUGUGAAUGAGUGAAGAUCCUGGAGGACCCUGGGCCCCAGGCCAGCUCCCAGCACUGGGGGACGGUGAACAGCCAUGUGUUAACGUUAACGAUGUUUUUAAAAGACAAAAAAAAAAAAACCUCAAAAGUUUUUUUAAAGUGGGGGAAAAACAUCCAAGCACUUUAAUUCCAUUGUACCAGGUGAACUGACGGAGCUCAGAAGUUUUCCUUUACACCAACUGUCAAUGCUGGAAUUUUGUAUUCUGUUUUGUAAAGAUUUAAUAAAAGUCAAAAAACCU